UACAGAGGUGGCAAGCGUUGUUCGGAAUUACUGGGCGUAAAGGGCGCGUAGGCGGUCUUGCAAGUCCUGUGUGAAAUCCCUCGGCUCAACUGAGGAACUGCACAGGAAACUGCUUGGCUUGAGUUCGGGAGAGGGAAGCGGAAUUCCGGGUGUAGCGGUGAAAUGCGUAGAUAUUCGGAAGAACACCAGUGGCGAAGGCGACUCGCUGGACAGACAUUGACGCUGAGGUGCGAAAGCGUGGGGAGCAAACAGG
rnacentral:rRNA from 1 species